rnacentral:rRNA from 1 species
AGACUACAAGUUUGAUAGGUCGGAGGUGUAAGUGCAGUAAUGCAUUCAGCUGACCGAUACUAAUAGACCGAAAGCUUGAACUA